UCUAAUGUGGCAGAAUAGUGCAAUAAAUUUAAGCUUUAUUUAUAAAGUUAACCUUUCUUUAGAA
rnacentral:tRNA from 1 species